CUUCAAUGAAGAGAUGAUGACGAGUCUGACUUGGAAGUCCUGUCUUUGUCCAUGUGGCCCUACUCUGUGCUGCGUUCUGUGACACCGGUUAGAGUCCUGGUCCGAGAAACUUCCUAAAGAUGACCUAGAGGCAUUUGUCUGAGAAGG
ensembl:snoRNA SNORD15 Small nucleolar RNA SNORD15